UACGUAGGGGGCAAGCGUUAUCCGGAUUUACUGGGUGUAAAGGGAGCGUAGACGGAAUUGCAAGUCUGAUGUGAAGAUCCGGGGCCCAACCCCGGAACUGCAUUGGAAACUGUAUUUCUAGAGUGUCGGAGAGGCAAGUGGAAUUCCUGGUGUAGCGGUGAAAUGCGUAGAUAUCAGGAGGAACACCAGUGGCGAAGGCGGCUUGCUGGACGAUGACUGACGUUGAGGCUCGAAAGCGUGGGGAGCAAACAGG
rnacentral:rRNA from 1 species